UACGGGGGGGGCAAGCGUUGUUCGGAAUUACUGGGCGUAAAGGGCCCGUAGGUGGCCAACUAAGUCAGACGUGAAACCCCUCAGCUUAACUGGGGAACUGCGUCUGAUACUGGAUGGCUUGAGUUUGGGAGAGGGAUGCGGAAUUCCAGGUGUAGCGGUGAAAUGCGUAGAUAUCUGGAGGAACACCGGUGGCGAAGGCGGCAUCCUGGACCAACACUGACACUGAGGAGCGAAAGCCAGGGGAGCAAACGGG
rnacentral:rRNA from 1 species